AGUGAACGCUGGCGGUAGGCCUAACACAUGCAAGUCGAACGGCAGCACAGUAAGAGCUUGCUCUUACGGGUGGCGAGUGGCGGACGGGUGAGGAAUACAUCGGCAUCUACUUUUUCGUGGGGGAUAACGUAGGGAAACUUACGCUAAUACCGCAUACGACCUACGGGUGAAAGCAGGGGAUCUUCGGACCUUGCGCGAUUGAAUGAGCCGAUGUCGGAUUAGCUAGUUGGCGGGGUAAAGGCCCACCAGGGCGACGAUCCGUAGCUGGUCUGAGAGGAUGAUCAGCCACACUGGAACUGAGACACGGUCCAGACUCCUACGGGAGGAAGCAGUGGGGAAUAUUGGACAAUGGGCGCAAGCCUGCUCCAGCCAUACCGCGUGGGUGAAGAAGGCCUUCGGGUUGUAAAGUCCUUUUGUUGGGAAAGAAAAGCAGCAGGUUAAUACCCCGCUGUUCUGACGGUACCCAAAGAAUAAGCACCGGCUAACUUCGUG
rnacentral:rRNA from 1 species